UUUCCGUAGGUGAACCUGCGGAAGGAUCAUUAAUAAAUUUUUUUUUGAAAUAAAAAAAAAUAUAAUCAUCCUACCCUUUGUGAAUUUGUUUUGUUGAAUAAUUUUUUAAAAUUAUUUAUUGUCUAUCCAAGUUGGAAGUUGUAAAAGACUCAAGACUUGGAGCGGCAUAAAUAAAUUUAAAGACUUUUUUCUAAAAUUAAACUUUUUGUAUUCAUUUGUCUAAAAUAAUUUUUAUAAUAUAUAAAAACAACUUUUGACAAUGGAUCUCUUGGUUCUCGCAACGAUGAAGAACGCAGCAAAAUGCGAUAAGUAAUGUGAAUUGCAGAAUACGUGAAUCAUCGAAUCUUCGAACGCAUAUUGCACUUUUUUAGUUUACUAAAAAAGUAUGUCUGUUUGAGUAUCAGUAAAAUAUUCUCAUAAAAUUUUUAAUUUUAUGGUUAUGAGUGUUUUACAACGAUAAACAAGUUGUUUCACUUUAAAUUGAAUUUUUUGAAGAAAUUCUUUAAUUCAAAUUAAAUUUGGAUAAAAUUUUCCCGUAAAAAGGAAUAACUAUACAAGUUUAAUAAGAAUUUGAUUUCUUUUAUAAAAGGAAAUUUAUUAAAUAACUUGAUCUCAAAUCAGAUAAGAGUACCCGCUGAACUUAAGCAUAUCAAUAAGCGGAGGAAAAGAAACUAACAAGGAUUCCCUAGUAACGGCGAGUGAAGCGGGAAGAGCUCAAAUUUGAAAUCUUAAAGGGUUUCCCUUUACGAAUUGUAGUUUAAAGAAGUGUUUUCUGUUGAGGUUUGGUAAAGGUUCUUUGGAAUAGGACAUCAUAGAGGGUGAGAAUCCCGUAUUUGACCUUUACUUUCAACUUUGUGAUACACUUUCAAAGAGUCGGAUUGUUUGGGAAUGCAGUCCAAAAUGGGUGGUAAAUUUCAUCUAAAGCUAAAUAUUGGCGAGAGACCGAUAGCGAACAAGUACCGUGAGGGAAAGAUGAAAAGAACUUUGAAAAGAGAGUUAAACAGUACGUGAAAUUGUCAAAAGGGAAGCGUUUGACACCAGUGUUGUUUUUCUGAAAAUCAAUUAAAGAACUGUUUAUGCUAAGCUGUUUAGACUUUAUCAGCUAUCUGUUAGUUUUGAGCUUUUCUUUAAUGCACUUUUCAGUUAACAAGUCAACAUCAAUUUCUUUUGCUGUAAAAAGCUUGAGGAAGUGGCUUGAGAUUCGUCUUAAGUGUUUAUAGCCUCUUGCCUAUGCAGUCGGAGAGAUUGAGGUCUGCAGCGUAGAUCCUUCGGGGCUAAAUGCAUUUGUGCUAAGUUAUAGCAUUUUAUAGACAACUUGUUGACUAUGAUUUGUCUUGUAGCUACUCGCUUAUGUUAUUUUACCUACGCUUAGGAUG
rnacentral:misc_RNA from 1 species